rnacentral:rRNA from 1 species
AGUGAGCGCUGGCGGUAGGCCUAACACAUGCAAGUCGAACGGCAGCACAGUAAUAGCUUGCUCUUACGGGUGGCGAGUGGCGGACGGGUUAGGUAUACAUCGGAAUCUACUUUUUCGUGGGGGAUAACGUAGGGAAACUUACGCUAAUACCGCAUACGACCUACGGGUGAAAUCAGGGGAUCUUCGGACCUUGCGCGAUUGAAUGAGCCGAUGUCGGAUUAGCUAGUUGGCGGGGUAAAGGCCCACCAAGGCGACGAUCCGUAGCUGGUCUGAGAGGAUGAUAAGCCACACUGGAACUGAGACACGGUCCAGACUCCUACGGGAGGCAGCAGUGGGGAAUAUUGGACAAUGGGCGCAAGCCUGAUCCAGCCAUACCGCGUGGGUGAAGAAGGCCUUCGGGUUGUAAAGCCCUGUUGUUGGGAAAGAAAAGCAGCAGGUUAAUACCCCGCUGUUCUGACGGUACCCAAAGAAUAAGCACCGGCUAACUUCGUGC